rnacentral:lncRNA from 1 species
UUUCGUGCAUCUAGACGUUCUAGCAAACAUCUCCAAAUACAGGGCAUAUCAUUAUCCCUAAGGUCUCUAACAUGAGAGCAUAUCACCAUCUUCAUUGUCUCCAAAGAUUAUCACACAUUGUUAAGCUUACUUUCAAAGCCAAUCAAAGUUAUUCAAAUCAUUCUCCAUGACACACUCUAGUUACCAAAGAGCCACAUUAGAAUCA